rnacentral:rRNA from 1 species
UACGGAGGGUGCAAGCGUUAUCCGGAUUCACUGGGUUUAAAGGGUGCGUAGGCGGGUAGGUAAGUCAGUGGUGAAAUCUUCGAGCUCAACUCGGAAAUUGCCGUUGAUACUAUUUAUCUUGAAUAUCGUUGAGGUUUGCGGAAUAUGUCAUGUAGCGGUGAAAUGCUUAGAGAUGACAUAGAACACCUAUUGCGAAGGCAGCAGGCUAAACGAAGAUUGACGCUGAGGCACGAAAGCGUGGGGAUCAAACAGG